AGCCAGUGAUGACAAAAUAAAUUAACUUUUCUGACACCUUCUAUGAGAGUUGAACAACAGCUCCUGAUUCAGACUUUAUUCUGAGGCUC